GAAUAUUGGUCAAUGGGCGAGAGCCUGAACCAGCCAAGUAGCGUGAAGGAUGACUGCCCUAUGGGUUGUAAACUUCUUUUAUAGGGGAAUAAAGUGAGCCACGUGUGGCUUUUUGUAUGUACCCUAUGAAUAAGGAUCGGCUAACUCCGUGCCAGCAGCCGCGGUAAUACGGAGGAUCCGAGCGUUAUCCGGAUUUAUUGGGUUUAAAGGGAGCGUAGGUGGACAUGUAAGUCAGUUGUGAAAGUUUGCGGCUCAACCGUAAAAUUGCAGUUGAUACUGUGUGUCUUGAGUACAGUAGAGGUGGGCGGAAUUCGUGGUGUAGCGGUGAAAUGCUUAGAUAUCACGAAGAACUCCGAUUGCGAAGGCAGCUCACUGGACUGUUACUGACACUGAGGCUCGAAAGUGUGGGUAUCAAACAGGAUUAGAUACCCUGGUAGUCCACACAGUAAACGAUGAAUACUCGCUGUUUGCGAUAUACAGCAAGCGGCCAAGCGAAAGCAUUAAGUAUUCCACCUGGGGAGUACGCCGGCAACGGUGAAACUCAAAGGAAUUGACGGGGGCCCGCACAAGCGGAGGAACAUGUGGUUUAAUUCGAUGAUACGCGAGGAACCUUACCCGGGCUUAAAUUGCAUUUGAAUGUUGGGGAAACCCAACAGCCGUAAGGCAAAUGUGAAGGUGCUGCAUGGUUGUCGUCAGCUCGUGCCGUGAGGUGUCGGCUUAAGUGCCAUAACGAGCGCAACCCUUAUCUUUAGUUACUAACAGGUUAUGCUGAGGACUCUAGAGAGACUGCCGUCGUAAGAUGUGAGGAAGGUGGGGAUGACGUCAAAUCAGCACGGCCCUUACGUCCGGGGCUACACACGUGUUACAAUGGGGGGUACAGAAGGCAGCUACCUGGUGACAGGAUGCUAAUCCCAAAAGCCUCUCUCAGUUCGGAUCGAAGUCUGCAACCCGACUUCGUGAAGCUGGAUUCGCUAGUAAUCGCGCAUCAGCCACGGCGCGGUGAAUACGUUCCCG
rnacentral:rRNA from 1 species